rnacentral:lncRNA from 1 species
UGGGCUAAAAGAGAUAAAUGUUGUUUAUGCAUAAUUUAGUAGAGAAAUACUUUGUGCACCAUGGGGGUGCAGCUCGCUUGCACCACGUGCGGUGAUUGGCUCACGGACGGGACUGGACGCAAUACGAAAUUUUUUUUUUUGCUGGUCCUGCAUGGGAGUCAAUCACCAUGAGCGAUACGUGCGGAGCUGUACCACCCGCAGUGCCACCCGCGGUGCACAAAGUAUUUCUCAAUUUAGUAAGUCUGCCGCCAUUUAAGCAUGACUUGUUACUGUUAAUCUAGGCCCAACC